UACGGGGGGGGCAAGCGUUGUUCGGAAUUACUGGGCGUAAAGGGCUCGUAGGUGGCUAACUAAGUCAGACGUGAAAUCCCCAGGCUCAACUUGGGAACUGCGUCUGAUACUGGAUGGCUUGAAUUCGGGAGAGGGAUGCAGAAUUCCAGGUGUAGCGGUGAAAUGCGUAGAUAUCUGGAGGAAUACCGGUGGCGAAGGCGGCAUCCUGGACCGAGAUUGACACUGAUGAGCGAAAGCUAGGGGAGCAAACGGG
rnacentral:rRNA from 1 species